AAGGGGGGUUUGGAUGCUGGCCCGCGAGGGCAUGUGCGCACCCCUGUUUUUCUAAUCCUCACAACAAACACCUGUGCACUUGUGGCGAGCGCCUUCCGUUCGGAGCCGUCCGACGUUAGUCUCCCUGUCUUUGGGAGGGUCGGGCCGAGGCGCUCCCUCUCUGUCCCAUUUACACUACAGCCUGUUUAAAAGCAUGUCUUGGGCUCUACGGAGCAGAUGGGAAGCAUUACAACUUUCAACAACGGAUCUCUUGGCUUUUGCAUCGAUGAAGAACGCCGCGAAAGCGCGAAACGUAAUGUGAAUUGCAGAAUUCAGUGAAUCAUCGAAUCUUUGAACGCAUCUUGCGCUCCUUGGUAUUCCGAGGAGCAUGCCUGUUUGAGUGUCGUGAACCCCCUCAACCUUUGUUCCUUUGCCGGGGCAGGGGUUGGAUUUGGACGCUUGCGGCGGGGGGGAAGCCCUUUUUUNCCCCCUUGCCGCUCGUCUUCAAAUGCAUCAGCUUGGCCCUCCUUUAGUAGUCGGUUCGACGACGGUGUGAUAACAAACGCUUCGUUGACUGUGGCGCCGUUUGGGCCGACUCUGAAACCGGGUCGCUUACAGCCGUCCC
rnacentral:rRNA from 1 species